rnacentral:rRNA from 1 species
AACGAACGCUGGCGGCAUGCCUAACACAUGCAAGUCGAACGAAGCCUUCGGACUUAGUGGCGCACGGGUGCGUAACGCGUGGGAAUCUGCCCUUGGGUUCGGAAUAACAGUUAGAAAUGACUGCUAAUACCGGAUGAUGUCUUCGGACCAAAGAUUUAUCGCCCAAGGAUGAGCCCGCGUAGGAUUAGGUAGUUGGUGGGGUAAUGGCCCACCAAGCCGACGAUCCUUAGCUGGUCUGAGAGGAUGAUCAGCCACACUGGGACUGAGACACGGCCCAGACUCCUACGGGAGGCAGCAGUGGGGAAUAUUGGACAAUGGGCGAAAGCCUGAUCCAGCAAUGCCGCGUGAGUGAUGAAGGCCUUAGGGUUGUAUAGCUCUUUUACCAGGGAUGAUAAUGACAGUACCUGGAGAAUAAGCUCCGGCUAACUCCGUGCCAGCAGCCGCGGUAA